rnacentral:lncRNA from 1 species
GCCCAAACUAAGCCUAAUAAAAACAUUUUUCCUGGGCUGAUUCCUCUCAGGCUGAAUGUAUUAGAUAACUACAGGCUGACAGAAUAAACUGGUUGUAGGAGAUACGUGAGAGCAUGCCACACUGUACUGGUUUAACUAUCUUCAUCUGCUGAAGAGGCCUUGCUCAGUUGUGGAAUUUGCAGCUGGACAGUAGAAAUGUGAGGACUGUAAGGAAGUGUGCUGCCAUUUUGUCUCACACUGCAGCGGAAGGGGCUGGCUCUCCAGCAGCGCCCAACUGGUGGAGGUGGACUGGGCGCAAAAGAGGCCAGAAAUAAAAGGAGUACUUCUGUGGUGCAGAACAGCAGUUGUAGUACCCUGGGACAAGAGAAAACUGUUCUCUUCAGUCUUGUCAGAAGAGGGAAUAAUGGACCUUGCUGCAACAAGGUAAGUACUUUUUCCUUUUCCUUAGUGGUUGGCAUUUUGCAACAGUGUGUAUAUCAUCGAUAGAGACUCAUUACAGUACCAGAAAGAUUCAUGCAUUCUAGCAGGAGUGAUAGCAUUCUGGCUUCUGGAGGCUUCUGAGGUAUUUUUUAGUCACUAAUAUUGCAAUGUAUUUCUUGUUUGGCUUUAGGUAAAGCACCUAAUUGCUUUGUAACUCCUUUUUCAUCUGUGAAAUGUAUAUUGCAGUAUUUCCUUUGCUUUUUUUCUAUUGUAAACUCCUUUGCAC